rnacentral:rRNA from 1 species
UACGUAGGGUGCAAGCGUUGUCCGGAAUUAUUGGGCGUAAAGAGCUUGUAGGCGGUUUGUCGCGUCUGCUGUGAAAUUUCGGGGCUCAACCCCGAACUUGCAGUGGGUACGGGCAGACUAGAGUGUGGUAGGGGAGACUGGAAUUCCUGGUGUAGCGGUGAAAUGCGCAGAUAUCAGGAGGAACACCGAUGGCGAAGGCGGCCAACUGGUCCGGCACUGACGCUGAGGAGCGAAAGCUAGGGGAGCAAACAGG